rnacentral:rRNA from 1 species
UGGGGAAUAUUGCACAAUGUGGCGGAAGCCUGAUGCAGCGACGCCGCGUGGGGGAUGAAGGCCUUCGGGUUGUAAACUCCUUUCGACAGGGACGAAGCUUUUGUGACGGUACCUGUAUAAGAAGCACCGGCUAACUACGUGCCAGCAGCCGCGGUAAUACGUAGGGUGCGAGCGUUGUCCGGAAUUACUGGGCGUAAAGAGCUCGUAGGUGGUUUGUCGCGUCGUCUGUGAAAUUCCGGGGCUUAACUCCGGGCGUGCAGGCGAUACGGGCUGACUUGAGUGCUGUAGGGGAGACUGGAAUUCCUGGUGUAGCGGUGAAAUGCGCAGAUAUCAGGAGGAACACCGAUGGCGAAGGCAGGUCUCUGGGCAGUAACUGACGCUGAGGAGCGAAAGCAUGGGUAGCGAACAGGAUUAGAUACCCUGGUAGUCCAUGCCGUAAACGGUGGGCGCUAGGUGUAGGGGGCUUCCACGUCUUCUGUGCCGUAGCUAACGCAUUAAGCGCCCCGCCUGGGGAGUACGGCCGCAAGGCUA